rnacentral:lncRNA from 1 species
CUAGUGUUGCUUAAUUUAAAUAUAUAGUUCUGCAUAUAUAGGAAUCAUGAGCUUAAGUCGUAUGAUAACUGACGACGACAUGCUUGCGUGCAAGCACACCAUGCCACCACUGCUCUUACUAUUAUACCUGAUUUACUUCUAUAAUAACACACGACAUGAUUAUUUCAAACCUAUAUUAUUUGUAAAUCUUUCAAAUGUUGUAAUGUAAUUUGGUGCUAAAACAAAUAACCGAAAAUUUCAAUAUAAAGGUUUGAUUAAAAUUAUUACAAUAAUAUACGGUCAGUUUUUUGAAAUAAAAUUAUAGUGGUUUUAAAAUAUAUUCUCUUUAAUUUUUCAGCACAAUAAAUUUUUUCUUUGCUUUGGUGGAAAGUCUUGUCCCUUCGAAUCUGUUAUUAAUACUGUUCUAAUAUUGCUUUAUUUACAGGUGCUCCAAUAUGUCCAGUUCAUUUGUGUAAACAGCGUAAAUGUCGUUAUGGGUUUAUGAAAGAUAAGAAUGGUUGCCCAACUUGCCAAUGUAACAUUAGACGUAAGCACUGCAGUAAUAUAGCCGCGAUGCAUGUGUACCAUGGUUCUCUUUUACCAUUUUAAAAUGAAACACACCACAUAUAAGAAAUAAAUAAAUCAAACUUGAACAAUUAAAUCAUAUUAUAACUUACAGUUAUAGAACGUACAGCCCCUCCCCCUUAAUUGCUUGACGUAAUUCAAGAUUUUUUCAAAUUUUGGCGCCAUUUUGUUAUUUUCCGUGCAGACGCGGAUUUGUGCGGCGCUCUCACUAUAUCCAAAAUCUGUUUCAGAAAACGCACGAAAUAAGUCCUAGGGGUAAAAAAAUACAAAAAUGUUCUGGGUGAUCGAGAAUUCCUCGUGGAGGACACCUCCCUACUAUUAUACAAUCAUACAACACCACAUUGAACUUUUAGUCACCAUGGAACAACCAUCUGUCAUCUCUUCACAGUUCACACUCAGUAUAUAAUAAUAUGGUCCCUUUCUGUAGAUGCCGCCUUCCCCACUGACGAAUUCUUAAAAAAGGCUCUGCUACAUGAUGCAGCACUGAAAUGAUUUCUCUACAAAUAUUGCUUUAUAUUUUAACAGCACCAAUCUGUUUACCUCGCUUCUGUAUAAGGCCUUGUCCCCUUGGAUAUGUUACCGAUAGAAAUGGUUGUCAAACUUGUAUUUGCAAACGUAAGUUAACUUAACUUGUUUUUAAGUAGUGACAUACCCAGGUAUAAUAUACAAAUAAUGAAUGUUUAUGAGUGCAAUGGUAAGAAUAUUUUCAUGAGGUGAAAGAUGGAAUGUUCCAUUCAACGAGGCGACAGCCGAGUUGAAUGGAACAUUCCAUCUUUCACCGAAUGAAAAUAUUCUUACCAUUGCACGAAGAAACAUUCAUUAUUUGUUUUAUAUAAUACCAAAAUAGACUAAUAGAUUUGUAUGAGAAGCAUUUUGAGGGAUGCAAUUUAUCGAAAACACAAAGAGUGCAAUUGUACUAUACGUUUUAUUCCAUUGCACUCGGGGAGAGUGCAAUGGAACGUGUUCAUUGCACUCUUGGGAAAUGGAAUUUUUUAUUCAAUAUCACGUGACCAUAAACAGCCAAUUAAAUGAUUAGAAUUUAAUAAGGUAUUAUAUAAUAUAUAUUAUGGCAUUAUAUUUGUUAACACUUAUUGACUAGGACCGAAAGAAAAAGUAGCCUAUAUGUUUUGUGCACUCGAGCCUGCCAAUGCUUUUUGCAGACUUGGUAUAUAGAAAUAAAUAAAUAAAUAUCUGCAACAAUAUUGAGGGGUCAGCCCGCCCUCCCAAAUCGGCAUGAAAUUUUUAACAAGGGCUGAGAUGCCCCCCCCCCCCCAUGAGCCCCCCUCUUCUACAACCCUGAGUGUAAUAAUAUAGCAACAACUACUGCUCUCGAUUUUAGGAUCGACGCGUCUAUAUUUGAAUUUUGUAUUACUGAGCACGCAAUUAUGGUUAUAUUAUAAACUCGACUCAUUGGUGAGCUGACCAGUCUUAGGGAGGGGGGGGGGAAUACAAAAAUGCUCUGGGGGAGAAUUCCCCCUGAUCUCCCUAUUAUUAUAGAAUCAUAUAUAAGACACCACACCUAACUUGUUGGAGACUUAUUGGGAGUGUCCCUCAUCUUUAUGCAUAACCUCUUAUACUAAUUGUCCCUCAUCUUUAUGCAUAUAACCUCUUAUACUGUAUUGAUGUUCAAUUAAAUAUUUUUAACAGAAAUGAAAAAUCAAAUCAAGGGUAACCUCAUUAACGAACAUCCCAAUAAUCAUUAGUAUCAAAAAGCAAACGCGCCUUUUCAUUCCAACUUAUUCAAUCGAAUGAAACCGUACGAUGUUAUAAAGUGCAUUCAUGGCAUUAUACGGUCGAUUAGUGAUGAAAUGUCCCUCAAGCCUCGAGAAGUUUAGUAAAAGUCCCUCCGGCGCUGCGCGUCUCGUGGCUUUUACUAAACCUCUCUCGGCUUUCGGGUACUUUUAAUCACCAAUCGCCCUGAAUGCCAUGCUAUUACUUUAAUAUAAUUAAUAAUAUAAUGCAGUUUUAAUGCGUGCUUUUUUUCAUUGCCAUUGGCUUUUAAUAUUUUACAGCUAUAUUCAGAGGUUAAUAUGACAGCAGGAAUGGAUUGCUCAUUAAUUCGUAGUAGACAAGAAUGCAUGUGGUUAAACAUUUAUAUUUGACAUUUUCUUUUAUGUAUACGUACGUAUGCAAUGUUUUUCAUGUACUUGCUUAUUUUUAGUUGUAAUGUACACUUUAAUAUGUAAACCUUUUUCAAUUUUGAAUAAAUUAAAAUGUGUUACUCAA